UACGUAGGGGGCAAGCGUUGGUCCGGAUUUAUUGGGCGUAAAGAGCGUGUAGGCGGCUUUGCAAGUCCGUUGUGAAAACUCGAGCUCAACCUCGAGACGCCGGUGGAAACUGCAAAGCUAGAGUCCGGAAGAGGAGAGUGGAAUUCCGUGGUGUAGCGGUGAAAUGCGCAGAUAUCAGGAAGAACACCCGUGGCGAAGGC
rnacentral:rRNA from 1 species